AACGAACGCUGGCGGCAUGCCUAACACAUGCAAGUCGAACGAAGGCCCUAGCUUGCUAGGAUACCUUAGUGGCGGACGGGUGAGUAACGCGUGGGAACCUGCCCUGGAGCGGGGAACAACAGUUGGAAACGACUGCUAAUACCGCAUACGCCCUUCGGGGGAAAGGCUUCGGCCACUCCUGGAUGGUCCCGCGUCUGAUUAGCUAGUUGGUAGGGUAAUGGCCUACCAAGGCGACGAUCAGUAGCUGGUUUGAGAGGAUGAUCAGCCACACUGGGACUGAGACACGGCCCAG
rnacentral:rRNA from 1 species